AGUGAACGCUGGCGGUAGGCCUAACACAUGCAAGUCGAACGGCAGCACAGUAAGGGCUUGCUCUUACGGGUGGCGAGUGGCGGACGGGUGAGGAAUACAUCGGAAUCUACUUUUUCGUGGGGGAUAACGUAGGGAAACUUACGCUAAUACCGCAUACGACCUACGGGUGAAAGCAGGGGAUCUUCGGACCUUGCGCGAUUGAAUGAGCCGAUGUCGGAUUAGCUAGUUGGCGGGGUAAAGGCCCACCAAGGCGACGAUCCGUAGCUGGUCUGAGAGGAUGAUCAGCCACACUGGAACUGAGACACGGUCCAGACUCCUACGGGAGGCAGCAGUGGGGAAUAUUGGACAAUGGGCGAAAGCCUGAUCCAGCCAUACCGCGUGAGUGAAGAAGGCCUUCGGGUUGUAAAGCCCUUUUGUUGGGAAAGAAAAGCAGCAGGUUAAUACCCCGCUGUUCUGACGGUACCCAAAGAAUAAGCACCGGCUAACUUCGUG
rnacentral:rRNA from 1 species